rnacentral:rRNA from 1 species
AUACGGAGGGUGCAAGCGUUACUCGGAAUCACUGGGCGUAAAGCGCGCGCAGGCGGUCUUUUAAGUUGGAUGUGAAAGCCUACGGCUCAACCGUAGAACUGCAUCCAAAACUAUUAGACUAGAGUGUGGGAGAGGAAGAUGGAAUUAGUUGUGUAGGGGUAAAAUCCGUAGAGAUAACUAGGAAUACCAAAAGCGAAGGCAAUCUUCUGGAACACUACUGACACUGAGGCGCGAAAGCGUGGGGAGCAAACAGGAUUAGAAACCCCAGUAGUCC